rnacentral:misc_RNA from 1 species
GCUACUACCGAUUGAAUGGUUUAGUGAGGACUCCUGAUUGGCGCCGCCGCCCCGGCAACGGAGCAGCGGACUGCCGAAAAGUUGUUCAAACUUGAUUAUUUAGAGGAAGUAAAAGUCGUAACAAGGUUUCCGUAGGUGAACCUGCAGAAGGACA